rnacentral:tRNA from 6 species
GGUCGCAUAGCUCAGUUGGGAGAGCACCUGCCUUACAAGCAGGGGGUCACAGGUUCAAGUCCUGUUGUGACCACCA